UCCCAGGUGGCUUAGUGGUAAAGAAUCUGCCUGCCAAGCAGGAGAUGUGGGUUCUAUCCCUGGGGU
rnacentral:tRNA from 1 species